rnacentral:rRNA from 1 species
ACUCCUACGGGAGGCAGCAGUGGGGAAUUUUGGACAAUGGGGGCAACCCUGAUCCAGCAAUGCCGCGUGAGUGAAGAAGGCCUUCGGGUUGUAAAGCUCUUUUGUCAGGGAAGAAACGGUGGUGGCGAAUAACUACUACUAAUGACGGUACCUGAAGAAUAAGCACCGGCUAACUACGUGCCAGCAGCCGCGGUAAUACGUAGGGUGCAAGCGUUAAUCGGAAUUACUGGGCGUAAAGCGUGCGCAGGCGGUUGUGUAAGUCAGAUGUGAAAUCCCCGGGCUCAACCUGGGAAUUGCAUUUGAGACUGCACGGCUAGAGUGUGUCAGAGGGGGGUAGAAUUCCACGUGUAGCAGUGAAAUGCGUAGAUAUGUGGAGGAAUACCGAUGGCGAAGGCAGCCCCCUGGGAUAACACUGACGCUCAUGCACGAAAGCGUGGGGAGCAAACAGGAUUAGAAACCCGGGUAGUCCCAU